rnacentral:tRNA from 1 species
UGGCUAAGUUGGUAGAGCAUGGCAUUUGCAAUGUUAGGGUUGUGGGUUCCAUUCCCAU